rnacentral:rRNA from 1 species
GGUGAACGCUGGCGGCGUGCUUAAGACAUGCAAGUCGAGCGGCAGUCUUCGGACUGUAGUGGCGCACGGGUGAGUAACGCGUAACUGACCUACCCCAAAGUCGCGGAUAACGAUUCGAAAGAAUCGCUUAUACGUGAUGUGCUGUCCGAUUGUUUUCUGCCAGUAAAGAUUGAUUGCUUUGGGAUGGGGUUGCGUUCCAUCAGCUAGUUGGUGGGGUAAAGGCCCACCCAGGAGACGACGGAUAGCCGGCCUGGGAGGGUGGCCGGCCACAGGGGCACUGAGACACGGGUCCCACUCCUACGGGAGGCAGCAGUUAGGAAUCUUCCACAAUGGGCGAAAGCCUGAUGGAGCGACGCCGCGUGAGGGAUGAGGGUCUUCGGAUCGUAAACCUCUGAAUCAGGGACGAAAGACACUUCGGUGGGAUGACGGUACCUGAGUAAUAGCACCGGCUAACUCCGUGCCAGCAGCCGCCGUAACAC